AAAAACACCGCCGAAGCCAUUGAACUAGAGUAGCGACUUUACAUAUCUCUCAAUAAUUUUCUUCACUUUCUCUCUAAUUUUUCUAUCCCAGCAAACACUGAAACAGGAAGACUUCCAUUUCUCAGUCUCUCUCCUACCUUUGUACGGUUUACCAGUCCCAACAAAUUCCAGAUCCUUUCGCUUCAAGUUCACCAUAUAAGCACAAAAUGGAUGUGUUUCUGUAUGUCUGCUUGUUUAUGAGGGAUAGUUCUGGCAGAUUUGAAGACUAGGAGGGUUGGUUUUUUCUUUGAAUUGAAAUAUGUAUGGGAGAAAGGCAUGCCAGCUGGUGAAAGAACUUGCAACUGGUGAAAAGGGGCAGCUCACUCCUUACAAUAGCGACCUGUUUGAUCAAGUAAUUGCAGAAUGUAGUCAGCAUCACCUCGAGCUUCAGUCCUUGAUAAGAAAAAUGCAGGAAGAAGGAUUGGAUGUGCAAACAACUAGAAAUGCAGAUCACUAUGGAGCUCUCAUCCACCACCUUUCUUUAGUUCGCAAUAAGCGCUGUCUAAUGGCAUGUGUGUACAACAGAGCAGAAACUAUAUGAAGUUUGAUAUGGAAAGUAGGGCCUGUGCUUCCUCAAGAAAUUCAAGAGAAGCUCAGUCACACAGAGGAAGACUAUUUUAAGAAACAUGCUGGAACUUUGCAAUCCUAUAUGUCGAGACUUGACCUUGAUUUGACUGUGGAUACGGUGCCACCCAAAGAUCCCUACAUACAGGUGAGAGUCCUUGAUGAUAUUGGUGUGGUACUAAGUGACGAUAAGACAACCAAUUUUGCUCGACACUCAAUGCACUUUCUUAAAUGAACUGGCGCUGAGCAAUUUAUUUCAAGGGGUUUGAUGGAGGAGCUCACCAGCUGACUUAACACCUUAUUUUCUCAAUGUUUAUCUCUUUCUAUGUAAAUGUAGAGAAGAGAUCAGUUAUGUCUUAGCAUUUCUUACCUGUGAAGGGUGCCCCUUUGUCAUUUUCUUUUUGAAAAUGGGCCAAACUUAGGUACAGGUUCUGCCCACAAAAGACCAUCAAGAGCUGUGAAGAGCUUUUAGAGUCUCCAGGCAAUGCUUCUAGACUGAAACCAAAUGGUUAUCUUUUUCAAUGUAAAUGGUUAGUUUGUUAUCAAUUUCUCUCAUUUACAUAUGAGACAGGACAGGACCAGUUGCAUAUAUGACAAAUCUUAGCAAUCUGAGAAAAAACCAAAUUUGAAAGAUAAAUAAUAAAGGAAACAAUUAGGAAAA